GGAGAGGUGGCCGAGCUGGCUUAAGGCAAUCGCCUGCUAAGCGAUUAGUCCCCUAACAGGGAUUCCCGGGUUCGAAUCCCGGCCUCUCCG
rfam:Candidatus Desantisbacteria bacterium CG1_02_38_46 cg1_0.2_scaffold_19017_c, whole genome shotgun sequence.